CCUACGGGAGGCAGCAGUGAGGAAUAUUGGUCAAUGGACGAGAGUCUGAACCAGCCAAGUAGCGUGAAGGAUGACUGCCCUAUGGGUUGUAAACUUCUUUUAUAAAGGAAUAAAGUGAGGCACGUGUGGCUCAUUGUGUGUACUUGAAGAAUAAGCAUCGGCUAACUCCGUGCCAGCAGCCGCGGUAAUACGGAGGAUGCGAGCGUUAUCCGGAUUUAUUGGGUUUAAAGGGUGCGGAGGCGGGUGGUGAAGUCAGUUGUGAAAGUUCGCGGCUCAAACCCGGAAUUGCGAUUGAUACUGCCACCCUUGAGUUCAGGUGAGGUAUGCGGAAUGCGUGGUGUAGCGGUGAAAUGCUUAGAUAUCACGCAGAACUCCGAUUGCGAAGGCAGCAUACCA
rnacentral:rRNA from 1 species